AGUGAACGCUGGCGGUAGGCCUAACACAUGCGAGUCGAACGGCAGCACAGUAAGAGCUUGCUCUUACGGGUGGCGAGUGGCGGACGGGUGAGGAAUACAUCGGAAUCUACUUUUUCGUGGGGGAUAACGUAGGGAAACUUACGCUAAUACCGCAUACGACCUACGGGUGAAAGCAGGGGAUCUUCGGACCUUGCGCGAUUGAAUGAGCCGAUGUCGGAUUAGCUAGUUGGCGGGGUAAAGGCCCACCAAGGCGACGAUCCGUAGCUGGUCCGAGAGGAUGAUCAGCCACACUGGAACUGAGACACGGUCCAGACUCCUACGGGAGGCAGCAGUGGGGAAUAUUGGACAAUGGGCGCAAGCCUGAUCCAGCCAUACCGCGUGGGUGAAGAAGGCCUUCGGGUUGUAAAGCCCUUUUGUUGGGAAAGAAAAGCAGCAGGUUAAUACCCCGCUGUUCUGACGGUACCCAAAGAAUAAGCACCGGCUAACUUCGUG
rnacentral:rRNA from 1 species